CGGGCCGGGGCCCGGCGGGCCUGGAGGCGGCGGCGGAGUCCCCCUGCCUCCGCGUGGAGCGCCCCUUCCCCGACACGGCCCGCCUCCUGGACGGGCGAGACGCCCCGGGACCACCCCUCCUUGCCCGGUGGUGGCCGGGCGCCCGAGCGCCCCAGGUAUCCGAGCUUACUGACCGGGACGCGUCAGGUGCAUGAAGGUUUUUGUAGACGGCGUCUGGGCAACCCUCCUGCUGUGCGACAGUGACACAAGGGCGCCCACUGACAGGUGUUCCCUUCACGCUGUACCUGCCGGGGAGCUUCCAGCCAGGUGGGGCGCGCGGCGCGGUCAGACGGCCCGGCCCGAGCCCCGCGUGCGCUUUCGUCCUCUGGCGAGUCCCCAGUUGACAGUUUUAAAGUUGUGUCCCCACGCCGUUUAACGUUACCUCUGUAGUUUAAAGCACCGUCUCUCUGCGGACAGGGAUGGACACAAGACAACCUUAUCCGAGUUCCUGGGCAGGUAGCAGCCACCCUGAGGCCUGUGGCCUUCGGAUGAUCUGUGUGAAGGGAUUUUGUUGUUGGCUUUGGGAUUCAAGUGGAGAGAGAUGAAGAAAAAUUGGGGGCUGAACAGCAGCAGCCCCAAAGAGUAUGUACACAUUCUUGAAUACAAGAAGUCAGCCCUCGAUCUCCCAGAGCAAAAAAAAGACAAAAAAAAAAA